UAGUUUUAUAGUUUAAAAAAAACGUUAAUUUUGUAAAUUAAAAAUAAAUAAACUUUUAAAACUA
rnacentral:tRNA from 1 species